UUCUUACCUGUCUGAUUACAGUUUGUGUUUUAAUUAAUGUGAAUUGAUUGCCUUUCUCUAGACUUAUUUGUUUAUAUAAUCCUACCUGUUAGACUGAGUAAAGAUAUACAUAAAGAGAGAAAAGGGAAAGUAGGAGAGAGAUUAAAAGUGAACUAUUGUAAAUCAACUGGAUCUAGAAAGUUUCAAUCUAUUCUACCAAAGUGAUAGCUUCUACUGUUUAACUAGUGAUUUAUUUAAUGUAUUUGCUCGCAUAAUUUAUAUCUGUUAUAAUUGUCUACGAGUAAGAAAGGAAAUUUUCACCCAGAUAGGAUAAUAAAGCUUCAACUCGUCAUGGUAUCAGGUUAACAGAUAAUUUAAAACAAUGCGGACCGAUCGUCUGCACCUUUUGGUCUGGACAUCACAUCACUACAGGUACAAUUGUAAAAGUGAAACUAGAAACCUGAUAAUCAUGAUCACUUUUGGUGUGUAAUUCAAUAUUGACGGAUACCAAUAAAAGUUGGUGGCAAUAAGAGUAUAAACUGAUUAAGAGCUGGUCAAUUGAGAUAUAAUGAUGUACAAUUAUCCCAUUCAUAGGAUCCUCACAAGCAGAUGAAGGAUUUUGUCUGAAGCAAUGGGUCCAAAAUAUUUCAUCACCAAAAUAUACCAAAAAAAUAUGAACACACAUUCAUUGCAAGCAAAGUUUCAACUGAUAAAUCUACCUGCGCAUUUAAUAAAACAUAUAUCAUUCUGCAGUAACUAACAAUUUAUGGGUAAAGUGGAUAUAUCACUAAUGGAGGAUGCAACUGAAUCAGCCGGAGAAGGACUUUUAUCACGCUCUGGAACAUUGAGAUAAGCUGUCUCCGAAAGUCGAAGAUCAUCCAUUUCUAUAAAUGUCG